GACAGAGGUGCCGAGCGUUAUGCGGAAUCACUGGGCUUAAAGCGUGUGUAGGCGGAGUUCUAAGUACCUUGUGAAAUCCCACGGCUUAACCGUGGAACUGCUUGGUAUACUGGUUCUCUUGGGCCAUCUAGGGGCUAGCGGAACAAACGGUGGAGCGGUGAAAUGCGUAGAUAUCGUUUGGAACGCCAAUGGUGAAAACAGCUAGCUGGGGAUGUGCAGACGCUGAGACACGAAAGCCAGGGGAGCGAACGGG
rnacentral:rRNA from 1 species